UUGUUAUAGCGCGUAUACAAGAAAGAUGGGGCGCUUCGUGUCUGCAUGGAUCCGAGAGAAAUCACGAACAUAAAGUGCGAGCACUAUCCAGUUCCAACAAGGGAAGAGAAUGAGGCCGAGCUGUCGGGCGCAAAAAAAAAAAAAAAAAAAAAAAAGUUCGGCUGGAUGCCAAUGCAGGCUUUCAUAAAUUUCCAUUGGACGAAGCGACAUCGCGAGUGUGCAAAUUUGCAACGCCGUUUGGACGUUACCGUUUUCUGCGUCUUCCGUUUGGAAUUUCGUCAGGGAGCGAAGUUUUCCAGAAAACGCUAACUGAAAUAUUUGAGGGACUAGCAGGCGACCGGAUAUACAUAGACGAUAUUUUAGUGUGGGGUGACAGUGAACAACAGCAUAACGAACGCCUAUACAUGCCGUGCGAAAACGGGCAGAACAAGCAGGCCUGACAUUUAACCUACAGAAAUGCGUGUUCUGCUUGAAAGAAAUUGAGUUCUAGGGUAACGGUAAUCGGGGAACAUAGGAUACGUCCGACUGAUAACCUGAUUGAAAGCGUGCGCUCGCUACCCACACCCACAGAUAGGCACUCGGUGCGUAGAACGAUGGCUGUUGUAAUCUAUUUUCGGAAGUAUGUCACUGCGUGAUAAGACAAUGUUGCUUCGGAGCUUCGUAAAAGAAUACGUCAUGCUUGAAUGAACCGUUGCGCAUGAGCAUGAAUGGGCGAAGGUGUGCGACGCAUUGACAAACCCCCUCCGUUACUCGCGCUCUUUGACAAAGCGAGGGACACCAAGGUCACUGCGGAUGCUUCGGGAACUGGUCUAGGCACGGUACUUCUGCAGCGACAUGGGAGUGACUGGCGUCCAGCGAGUUCGUGCCUGGCAAGACAUGGUUCUGGCGGGCAUGUUGUCUCGUGCACCUUUGUCAUCACAGGCGUCCAGUGCACCGACAGACGUCGACUUCCAUGCGGUACAGGUCGUCUCCAGUAUCGUAACCACGCCAAUGAAGGUGCGUCUGGUAAAGGAAACCAGGAAUGACCCGUACUUAAGCGAGGAUGAGCGAACAAAUUUCAAAGGGUCCCGUCAUCGAUGAUUAACUCAAGUCCUUUGCAGGGGAACUAUAACUGCUGUAGAAGGAAUAUUGCUGAAGGGCUGCAAAGUGGUCAUACCCAAAACGAUGAGAGCAGAAAUUCUUAAACGAAUUCACGAAGGACACCUCGGACUGAAUAAAUGUAAAGCAAGAGCACGGGGAUUGGUAUUCUGGCCUGGGCUUAGCGGUGCUAUUGAUGCGUUCGUUCGGAGGUGCCGUAUAUACUUGCCAAAAGUAUGCAUACAACCAGCAGAAUAAGUCCCCUCUCGUGCAGGUCCACCCCGGACAGGCCGUGGCACCGUGUGGGAAUUGAUAUUUUCCAGUUUGGGGCAGCUUCCUAUGUCAUCGUGUACGAUGCCCACUCUAAUUUCCCGACGUGGAGAAGCUAAGGGGCACCACAGCAAAGAAGUCAUAGCCAAAGUAUCGGCUAUUUUUUUUUUCACGGUACGGCAUCCCGGUUUAUGUAUGCACUGACAACGGGCCCCAGUUUGGAUCGCAAGAGUUCCGUCUGUUUGCGCACAAAUGACUUUCAGCAGAUCACGUCAAGUCCGGAAUACCCGCGGUCAAAUGAACUGGCAGAGAAUGGGGUUCAGAUUGUUAAGCGCAUCCUAAAGAAGACUAAUGACUCCCACGGUCACUUUUGGCUGGGUUUUAUAGCCAAUCGUUCUUCUCCCCAAGGUGAUGGCCGCUCUCCUGGCGAACUACUGCAAGGCCCGCACCUUCGCACUGCCCUGCCCAGGUACCACGAGGAUCCAGGUGUCCCAGUAGGAAAGUAUCACCAGUCUUCGAAGGGCAAGCUACUGCCACCGCUCAAAGAGGGAAGUUCGGUUCGCAUUCGAAAUGGAGACUGGUCACGCGCAGCGACAGUAAGCAAGAAAGCAGCUCCAAGGUCGUACAUGGUGAAGACCGAGGACCAGCGGAUGCUGAGGCGAAACAGGCAACACCUGGUACACACACCAGGAAACGAUGACCUCAGCCCUCAGGAACAACGACAUAGAGCCAGACACAGCAUGAUGGACCCACGUCUUUAAUGCAUGAUUCAGACCAUGCAGGUGCAAACUCGUCUGGUCUACGAAAGUCAACCAUGGCAACGUACGGAACCUCAACGAUUGCAUUAUGAUAG